GGGUCAAUAAGUGCAUUUUCAAAGGGGCCACUUUGUCCGGACUCUAUUUCAAAUUGUAUUCAUCCGAUCUUCACCAAACUUGGUCAGCAGUUGCAUCUAGUUGAUAUCUAGGCCAAGUUCGAAUAUGGGUCAUGCCGGGUCAAAAACUAGGUCAUAGGGUCAAUAAGUGCAUUUUCAAAGGGGCCACUUUGUCCGGACUCUAUUUCAAAUUGUAUUCAUCCGAUCUUCACCAAACUUGGUCAGCAGUUGCAUCUAGUUGAUAUCUAGGCCAAGUUCGAAUAUGGGUCAUGCCGGGUCAAAAACUAGGUCAUAGGGUCAAUUAGUGCAUUUUCAACGGCGCCACUUUGUCCGGACUCUAAUUCAAAUUGUAUUCAUCCGAUCUUCACCAAAUUUGGUCAGAAGUUGUGUCUAGAUGAUAUGUAGGUCAAGUUCAAAUAUGGGUCAUGCCGGGUCAAAAACUAGGUCACGAGGUUACUUAGUGCAUUUCAAGCAUUUAGCAUGGUGUCCGCUCUCUAAUUGAAGUAGUUUUCAUCUGAUCUUCACCUAAUUUGGUCAGAAGUUGUGUCUAGAUGAUAUGUAGGUCAAGUUCGAACAUGGGUCAUGCCGGGUCAAAAACGAGGUCACAUAGUGCAUUUCAAGCAUUAAGCAUGUUGUCCGCUCUUUAAUUGAAGUAGUUUUCAUCUGAUCUUCACCAAAUUUAGUCAGAUGUUACAUCUAAGUGAUAUCUAGGUCAAGUCCAAAUAUGGGUCAUGCCGGGUCAAUAACUAGGUCUUGAGGACACUUUCAAGCAUUGAGCAUGGUGUCCAAAACCUUCGAACGGGCGUAUCUUGUGACAGUUUGGCACUCUUG